UGGAGGUUUACGCUGGUGAAGGAGCAAGCAGCCUAAUAAACAUUAAUCGGCCGACUGGGGAAUUGCCUGCCUCAUGGAGGUGUCUCUUAGGAGGGGGGGGCCUCCAGUGAUGGAUGAGGAAUGGCCCUUUGAGUUGGCGGAGUGCCACUUUGUGGAGGAUAGUGAUGCUGUGCGGAUCUGGAGAUGCGUGGAGCCUGGGAACAGUCUCCCGACACAAUUAAUUGUAUGCUAUGGUUGUGCAGGUGGCGCUUGUUCGUUUUGUUUUGUUUGUUUUGUAUUUGAGCCGUGUUUUGUUUAUCAGUUA
rnacentral:lncRNA from 1 species